CAGUCGCGUUGGCUAGAAAUCAACAUUGCUCUUGCGUGGUGUACUUUCUGGUUGACGGGUCAGCAUCAAUUUUGACUGCUGGAAAAAGGCUUAGGGAAUGUGGCAGCUUCGGCUGUGUUAUAGCCCUUGGUCACAUACAGCGGUUGGGAUUGAGGAACUCAGCACGCCGCAAGGCCGGGUUUCGACCACGCCCACGUGCUUAGGAUGCUGGCAAAAUGGCUUUAACGACCCGUCUUGAAACACGGACCAAGGAGUCUAACAUAUAUG
rnacentral:rRNA from 1 species